CCCCACAUUGCCAAAUGCAUUAUAAACCAUCUUCUUCGACACAAACACGGCAUGGUGAGUACCACAGUACGAUAUCGCAAUAAAUAGUGUUGCAGCGCCCAUCCAAAUACAUUUUCUUCCCAUUAUUCGCAGCACAACAUACGAUUGACGGAUUUUCUUUUCUGUUCUUCUUGCUCACAGAUUGGUCAACAUCGCAUAAACUAUGACCACUACUAUGUUCUUCAGGAAGUAGACGGCAAAGGGCAACUCCGCAUUGUUCCCAAGCUUACCGUUGAACACGUCUGCCCCGACAACAUGAGAAAAAGUAGUGUGAAGCUUGCAGUACAGCUGCUCAGCCGAAGUAUGGCUAUCGGCCUUGAUGGGUACAGGCGACUCAAGCUAGCUGGCCUGAAAGACUGCGAGGGGACAGCCGCGUUUACCCGCAUGAUAAGUGACCUUUUUGACGCCCUGAA
rnacentral:lncRNA from 1 species